GCCUUCGUGGUGUAAUGGUCAGCACUCUGAGCCGGAAUUCCAGAGGUCCGUGGUUCGAUCCCCGGCGAAUGCA
rfam:Stegodyphus mimosarum contig79391, whole genome shotgun sequence.